UACGUAGGUGGCAAGCGUUGUCCGGAAUUAUUGGGCGUAAAGGGCGCGUAGGCGGUUCUUUAAGUCAGAUGUGAAAUCCCGAGGCUCAACUUCGGGCGUGCAUUUGAAACUGGAGGACUCGAGUGCAGGAGAGGAAAGUGGAAUUCCUAGUGUAGCGGUGAAAUGCGUAGAGAUUAGGAGGAACACCAGUGGCGAAGGCGACUUUCUGGACUGUAACUGACGCUGAGGCGCGAAAGCGUGGGGAGCAAACAGG
rnacentral:rRNA from 1 species